UCUGAUAAUAGAGGCGCGAGAAUGAGGAGUAGCUUUCCUGAGGAUGAUGGAUCCCGGGACGGAAAGUGAAAGGCAGAUCGCCGAAACGGGAAACAGCCAAUCGGUUUCCUGUUGGGCUGGCAUUGAACAAGUGUCAGACUGUCACAAUGGUCACGUUGUGGAGAACUAUUGAAGAG
rnacentral:ncRNA from 2 species